rnacentral:rRNA from 1 species
GUGCCAGCAGCCGCGGUAAUACAGAGGUCUCAAGCGUUGUUCGGAUUCAUUGGGCGUAAAGGGUGCGUAGGUGGCGGGGCAAGUUGGAUGUGAAAUCCCGGAGCUUAACUCCGGAACUGCAUUCAAUACUGCCUUGCUAGAGUACUGGAGAGGAGAUUGGAAUUUACGGUGUAGCAGUGAAAUGCGUAGAUAUCGUAAGGAAGACCAGUGGCGAAGGCGGAUCUCUGGACAGUUACUGACACUGAGGCACGAAGGCCAGGGGAGCAAACGGGAUUAGAAACCCCGGUAGUCC